CCUACGGGAGGCAGCAGUGAGGAAUAUUGGUCAAUGGACGGAAGUCUGAACCAGCCAUGCCGCGUGCAGGAAGACGGCUCUAUGAGUUGUAAACUGCUUUUGUACAAGGGUAAACCUGAAUACGUGUAUUCAGCUGAAAGUACUGUACGAAAAAGCAUCGGCUAACUCCGUGCCAGCAGCCGCGGUAAUACGGAGGAUGCGAGCGUUAUCCGGAUUUAUUGGGUUUAAAGGGUGCGUAGGCGGAGCGUUAAGUCAGUGGUCAAAUUGAGGGGCUCAACCCCUUCCCGCCAGUGACACUGGCGCUCUUGAGUGGAAGAGAAGUAUGCGGAAUGCGUGGUGUAGCGGUGAAAUGCAUAGAUAUCACGCAGAACUCCGAUUGCGAAGGCAGCAUACCGGCGCCCAACUGACGCUGAAGCACGAAAGCGUGGGUAUCGAACAGGAUUAGAUACCCUUGUAGUC
rnacentral:rRNA from 1 species